UUGCUUGUCAGUCAUUCACAUUUAUUAAAAAUAGUCACUUUAUUAAAUAAUGUGAGAAACUAUAUUUUUUGCGAACAGACCUGAAGAUAAAUUAUGAAAGGGUGUGACAAGUAUCAGUAAUGCAGGAAGACGCAGAGGUAGAGUAAGAAGAGUAGUGAAAAGAGAGAGCUCCUAAAUAAGGAGCAAAUUAAUGUCAUGGGAAAAAUUCUGAUACAAUUUCCUGGUCUAAACACUCCUGUGUUUAGAGGAAAAGAAUUAAUUCAACAGCAAAAACUUAUGGAAUUACCACAAAGUCAGACCAGACCAAUGCAAAUAAAAUUAUCGCCAUUGGAAUUUGGUUGGACGAGUGUUACAAUGGAUGGUAGAAGCAUUGAAUCAGUUCUUAUUGGAAAAGAUUAAUAUUUAUGCUAUUAUUGGAUUAUAAUGGUUAAAUCACACACAUACGAAAAUCAUAUACAUUUGAAAGUUUUGAAACCCGGAUUUUGGAAAACAAAAUGAUAACUUGUAUGACCGGUAAUUUAGCACGUAAGACUAGAAUCAGUUCAUUUAUAGUAACUGGAAAUGGAAAUGGAUUAGCUGGAUUUGCGUUAUCAAAAGCUAAAGCAUCCCUAAAGACGGUUAAAAAUAGGAUCAAAGACUAAUGUAUAUUCCUACAUAUAAGGAAUACACUGUGUUACAUGAUUUCUUUACACAGUUUGAGAAUAUAAAAAUAUUUGUAAAGAAAAUUCGUGAAGGAUAAUGGGCUUGUUUGUCAUCAUGCGAUAAAAGCGUGUUGCGAGAUAAUUGGCAUAAAGGAUAUGUAUGCCAAAGUACAGGGAGGAAUGUAAAAGCAUUCUUUGGUUGAUUUAUUGCAAUAGAUAUUUCUAUU
rnacentral:lncRNA from 1 species